rnacentral:rRNA from 1 species
UUUAAAGUCUAAUCUGCCCUAUGAGGUUUUAAAUGGCCGCGGUAUUUUGACCGUGCAAAGGUAGCAUAAUAAUUAGUUUUUUAAUUGAAAGCUGGAAUGAAUGAUUGGACGAGAAAAUUACUGUCUCAGAUUAGUUUUAUUAGAAUUUUAUUUUUAAGUAAAAAAGCUUAAAUUUUAUUAAAAGACGAGAAGACCCUAUAGAGUUUUAUAUAAUUAUAUUUAUAAAUUUUAAGGAAUUUUUUUAUUUAUAUUUAUAAUUUUAUUUUAUUGGGGUGAUAGAAAAAUUUAAUAAACUUUUUUUUUAUAGAUUCAUUAAUAUAUGUUUAAUUGAUCCAUUAUUUAUGAUUAUAAGAUUAAAUUACCUUAGGGAUAACAGCGUAAUUUUUUUUUAGAGUUCUUAUCGAAAGAAAAGAUUGCGACCUCGAUGUUGGAUUAAAAUAAAUUAUAGGUGUAGAAGCUUAUAAAUUAGGUCUGUUCGACCUUUAAAAUUUUACA